rnacentral:rRNA from 1 species
CCUACGGGAGGCAGCAGUGGGGAAUAUUGGGCAAUGGAGGAAACUCUGCCCCAGCAACGCCGCGUGAAUGAUGAAGGUCUUCGGACUGUAAAGUUCUUUUCUAAGGGAAGAAGAAAGUGACGGUACAUUAGGAAUAAGCCACGGCUAACGACGGGCCAGUGGCCGCGGUAAUACGUAGGAGGCAAGCGUUAUCCGGAAUGACUGGGCGUAAAGGGUGCGUGGGUGGUUUGAAAAGUUGGUAGCGUAACUCCGAGGCUUAACCUCGGCACUACUACCAAAACUGUUGGACUCGAGUGCAGUAGGUGCAAAUGGAAUUCCUAGUGUAGCGUUGGAAUGCGUAGAUAUUAGGAGGAACACCAGUUGCGAGGGCGAUUUGCUGGACUGUAACUGACACUGAGGCACGAAAGCGUGGGGAGCAAACAGGAUUAGAUACCCCGGUAGUC